GACGAACGCUGGCGGCGUGCCUAACACAUGCAAGUCGAACGGAGUGUUUAUUUAUAAACACUUAGUGGCGAACGGGUGAGUAACGCGUAGACAACCUACCCUCUAGAUGGGGACAACACCGCGAAAGUGGUGCUAAUACCGAAUGUUGUAAUGUUAUUGCAUAAUGAUAUUACUAAAGGUGGCCUCUAUAUAAAAGCUACCGCUAGAAGAUGGGUCUGCGUCUGAUUAGCUAGUUGGUGAGAUAACAGCUCACCAAGGCAAUGAUCAGUAGCCGGUCUGAGAGGAUAAAAGGCCACACUGGGACUGAGACACGGCCCAGACUCCUACGGGAGGCAGCAGUGGGGAAUCUUCCGCAAUGGACGAAAGUCUGACGGAGCAACGCCGCGUGAGUGAAGAAGGUUUUCGGAUCGUAAAGCUCUGUCUUCAAGGACGAAUGUAGAUAUUGUGAAUAAUGAUAUUUAAUGACGGUACUUGAGGAGGAAGCCACGGCUAACUACGUGCCAGCCGCCGCGGUAA
rnacentral:rRNA from 1 species